AUCCAGUUGACGAGUCCUAAAUAAGACGAAACGUACGUUCUCGAU
rnacentral:hammerhead_ribozyme from 1 species